rnacentral:rRNA from 1 species
CCUACGGGGGGCAGCAGUGAGGAAUAUUGGUCAAUGGACGAGAGUCUGAACCAGCCAAGUAGCGUGAAGGAUGACUGCCCUAUGGGUUGUAAACUUCUUUUAUAUGGGAAUAAAACGUUCCACGUGUGGGAUUUUGUAUGUACCAUAUGAAUAAGGAUCGGCUAACUCCGUGCCAGCAGCCGCGGUAAUACGGAGGAUCCGAGCGUUAUCCGGAUUUAUUGGGUUUAAAGGGAGCGUAGGUGGAUUGUUAAGUCAGUUGUGAAAGUUUGCGGCUCAACCGUAAAAUUGCAGUUGAAACUGGCAGUCUUGAGUACAGUAGAGGUGGGCGGAAUUCGUGGUGUAGCGGUGAAAUGCUUAGAUAUCACGAAGAACUCCGAUUGCGAAGGCAGUUCACUGGACUGCAACUGACACUGAGGCUCGAAAGUGUGGGUAUCAAACAGGAGUAGAUACCCUAGUAGUC